GUGACUUUAAUGUUUAACGGCCGCGGUAUUUUGACCGUGCAAAGGUAGCGCAAUCACUUGUCUUUUAAAUGGAGACCUGUAUGAAUGGCAUCACGAGGGCUUAACUGUCUCCUCUCUUUAACCAAUGAAAUUGAUCUCUCCGUGCAGAAGCGGGGAUAAAAGCAUAAGACGAGAAGACCCUAUGGAGCUUUAGACACCAAGACAGCUUAUGUCAAGCAUUCCUGCAUAAGRGACCGAACUAGAUAAACCCUGUCCUAAUGUCUUUGGUUGGGGCGACCUUGGGGAAAUAAACAACCCCCACGUGGAAUGGAAACAUGUUUCCAAAACCAAGAGCCACCGCUCUAAGAAGCAGAACUUCUGACCAAUCAGAUCCGGCAAAGCCGAUCAACGGACCGAGUUACCCUAGGGAUAACAGCGCAAUCCCCUUUUAGAGUCCCUAUCGACAAGGGGGUUUACGACCUCGAUGUUGGAUCAGGACAUCCUAAUGGUGCAGCCGCUA
rnacentral:rRNA from 1 species